rnacentral:rRNA from 1 species
AACGAACGCUGGCGGCAUGCCUAACACAUGCAAGUCGAACGAAGCCUUCGGGCUUAGUGGCGCACGGGUGCGUAACGCGUGGGAAUCUGCCCCUUGCUUCGGAAUAACAGUUAGAAAUGACUGCUAAUACCGGAUGAUGUCUUCGGACCAAAGAUUUAUCGGCAAGGGAUGAGCCCGCGUAGGAUUAGGUAGUUGGUGGGGUAAAGGCCUACCAAGCCGACGAUCCUUAGCUGGUCUGAGAGGAUGAUCAGCCACACUGGGACUGAGACACGGCCCAGACUCCUACGGGAGGCAGCAGUGGGGAAUAUUGGACAAUGGGCGAAAGCCUGAUCCAGCAAUGCCGCGUGAGUGAUGAAGGCCUUAGGGUUGUAAAGCUCUUUUACCAGGGAUGAUAAUGGCAGUACCUGGAGAAUAAGCUCCGGCUAACUCCGUGCCAGCCGCCGCGGUAAAAC